UACCGCGGUUAUACGAGAAGCCCCAGUUGACAACACUCGGCGUAAAGCGUGGUUAACAAACAUAGCACUGAAGUUAAAUGCAACCCAAACAGUUAUACGUAAAUGGUAGCAAGAGGCCCACCCACGAAAGUGACUUUAAAACUGUGACUCCACGAAGACUAGGGAA
rnacentral:rRNA from 1 species